rnacentral:rRNA from 1 species
UACGGAGGGUGCAAACGUUUGCUCGGAAUCAUUGGGCGUAAAGCGCACGUAGGCGGCCUGUUAAGUCGGAUGUGAAAGCCCUGGGCUCAACCCAGGAAGUGCAUACGAAAACUGGCGGGCUUGAAUAUGGAAGAGGGUCGCGGAAUUCCCGGUGUAGAGGUGAAAUUCGUAGAUAUCGGGGAGGAACACCAGUGGCGAAGGCGGCGACCUGGGCCCAAAUAUUGACGCUGAGGUGCGAAAAGCGUGGGGGAGCAAACAGGG